AGGGUACUUGAGCAUUACAUGAAAUCUUUGCAAGAAAAAAGCUACUGGACGAAGGUGGAAGUGAAAACAGUGCAGAACUACUUUCCUGGCAGUGAUGGAAUCAUCUUUACCUAUAGGGUUUUGUAAGUUUGUCUUCUAAACGUAUUCAUGUAUGGGCACCAUAAUGAAUUCAGCACUGUACUUGGGAGUGAGGUUUUAGUGUAGUUAAUGACCUCCAAAACAAUGACAGAGCAUAAUUGCUGUUUACUGUAACUUGCUUCACUGUAAUUAAAACUUUACCCGAUUGUUUAUUUUUCACCUUUUACCUCUGCUUAGGCUUUAUGGUUAGUAUUUGAUGUAAGGCUGCUCCUUGAGAUCAUAUUGUAAACUAACAAUAAAUUUCUUGAUAAAUAGUGGCACUCAAGUAACGAUGAAUAGGCAAAAUAACACCAAGAUUUUAAAAUUAAUUUUCUUUCCCAUUUCCUACAUUCAGAAGAAUGACGAAUAGCCUGGGUAAGCUUUCGUGAUAUUUCUUCUGUCCUUUCACUAGUGUCCUUUAAACCAAGAUUUAGAUUGUCGUGUUUCAUAUCACGACUGUUGUAGGCUACUAUACAAGCGUGGGUUAUAGUGUUACCACCUAGCGCAAGGCCGUUAAAUGCCACCAUAUCGUAAUAUGAAACAAUGCAUUAUUAGAUGUGGAUUGUCAGUUGAUCUUGAAUGCUGCAAGCUAAACAUACAUUGUACAUUAUUAUUUGCGUCAUAUAAUCACGUGAAUGGUCUAGCUCAUUAUCCUCAAAAACUGUAACGAUAACUUUGAUUAUAGUUAUAGAAGAAAAAGAUUUGGAGACUUCCUGUUAUGUGACCCAUCCUUGGGAACCAGUAUGCCAGUUGUAAUGAACUUCGUUUCAUCAGCUCUGUUAUUUGUCUCUAUAUCUAGUGAUUUUUACAGAUUUUUAAAAACGCAGAAUUCAUUUGAAGUCAUUGAAUAAAAAAGGCAUAACCCGAGUUGAUUUUUGUCAAGUCAAUUUGCUACAAUCGAUCGUCUUCAGUCACAAUCUCCUCUUCGUACUGAAGUAUAAAAUGCUAUGGGAAACAUUGAAAGCACAUUUUCGUCAAAAGUUUGGGAACCGAAUAAGGUUACUGUAGAGUGUUCUUUAUCCUCAAUGCUAUCCUUAAGCUAUAGGUCAGUUGUCUUGAUGUUUCUGCUAAACCCUUCUCCAAUAAAUCCUCUCACUUCUACUUCUUCGCCUGCCUAUCCCAGACCAUCACAAUCUUGGCUCUUAUCUUAUCAGUAUUCUUUACAACCCCAACACUUCUAAUUCCUUCGGAUUUCAGCUAGAGGCUUUAUGGAUUAAGAAUACUAUAGAGUGUUUGUAAACAAUUCUUUUAAUCUCUGUACAGCAAACCAUUAAUUUUGAUAUCUUAAUUCUAAGAGAAAUAUGAGUGGAUGUAAUAAUGCGAAGUUGGUCAUUUCAUUAUGAUAUUAGUAUUCGUAUCGCAAUAUGGAGGGCAUCAUUGAGUUCUAGAAUAUAAUAUUUCAGAAUAAAAUUUAGCAUAAAAAGAUCUAAAAUAGAUUGAUAAGAAGAAUAUUCCUGCCAUAGAGUUCGUCAGAAUCAACUUUGUGAUAUCCAGCGUUUAUGAAGCACUAGAGUUUAAUUAUGAUUACUCUUGUCUUCCUUUGUUACAUGCAGAAGAGAUGGAACAAUAAGUUCGUUGACAGUCCAUCUAAAUAAUCAAUUGGACUCUCUCUCUCUCUCUCUCUCUCUCUCCGUAUGAGAGAAUUUUGAUUUUACUUUAACGUAAAGAUUUUAUACUUAGUGGUUGGUCACUCAUAAGUUUUAGAUUUAUUUAAUUAAUAGUGUUUAUUUGUGGAAUCUGAGCAGACGUUGUACGAGUUUGUAACGGCGCAUUUUUGGAAUAAUAUAGUAUUUUAAAGGUAAUGUGUUAUUACAAGUUUUAAGUUGCAACUUAAAAACAUUAUUUAGGGGGUUUGGUGAAACUAUUUCAUACCUUACACAUUGCAAAUUCUAAUGUUCUGUGUUUAAUUCUUUUGAAGUGUGAUUUUUAUAUUCAGUGACAAUUUCGUGUUUUUCAAAUCUUGGUGGUGAAUUUAAUAUUCUGAUGCCUUUUUUUGCAUUCACAAUUUGUUUGAUUAACUUGUUUGUUUUAAUUAAUUAAUCAUUGCAUAUUUAAUUAUGUUUAACACUUGUUAAUUACUUAGCCUUUACUUGGAAUUCUCUUCAAGUUUUAUUGUUGUUUAAAACUUGUGAGUUAAUUUUCAAAUUUUAAUUGUUACUUAACACUUUGAAGUUUACUUGAAUAGUUUAAUUUCUGGAUUUUUAUCAUAAAUUAAUUUUGAUUUAAUUUUGCUUAAUAAUUAAUUCAAGAAAAAAUUAAACUUUCUGUUGUUUUCCAGUAUUAAUAAAUUUUAAUAAUAAAUUUUUGUACUAAAAAUUUGUAUAAGUGUUUUCUUUUUUUCACCAGUAUAUUUAAUUUUGUUUAGGUAGAAAUAUAGAUAGGUAAUUGAACUGUUUUCCUUCAGCUUUGUUGAAGUAAAUUAGAACUAGGGAAAUACUUUGACUUUUAAAAGUUGUUGAUGUAGUGAUGCCCUUUAAUUAAUAAAAUUACAUUGAAGAUUA